rnacentral:tRNA from 1 species
GCCUUUAAAGGAUAACAGCUUAUCCACCGGUCUUAGGAACCGGGGACUCUUGGUGCAAAUCCAAGUAAAGGCU